CCCUAGUAUUUAAAAUUAUUAUAAUUAGUAUUAGUGAAAUUUAAUAAUUUUGGCGGUUAAUUGUUACUUAGAGGAGCUUGUAUUAUAGAAUUUACUCUUUAUAUCUUAUUAGUAAUUAAUUUAUUCAUCUCCGUUAUUAAUUUUUAAAUAAAAAAGUUAAAAAAAUUUGUUAUUAGUAUUUCAGGUCAAGAUGUAGUUUUUACUAAAAUGUAUUAGCUACAUUUAUGAAAUUAAUGGAUUAUAAUAUUUUAUAUUAAGGUGGAGUGUAAGAAAUUGAAUUUAGUUGUAAUAAUAAUUAGAAUAUUAUUGUGAAUGGAUUUUAUUAAUGUA
rnacentral:rRNA from 1 species